GAACUGAAGAGUUUGAUCAUGGCUCAGAUUGAACGCUGGCGGCAGGCCUAACACAUGCAAGUCGAGCGGCAGCACGGGUACUUGUACCUGGUGGCGAGCGGCGGACGGGUGAGUAAUGCCUAGGAAUCUGCCUGGUAGUGGGGGAUAACGCUCGGAAACGGACGCUAAUACCGCAUACGUCCUACGGGAGAAAGCAGGGGACCUUCGGGCCUUGCGCUAUCAGAUGAGCCUAGGUCGGAUUAGCUAGUUGGUGAGGUAAUGGCUCACCAAGGCGACGAUCCGUAACUGGUCUGAGAGGAUGAUCAGUCACACUGGAACUGAGACACGGUCCAGACUCCUACGGGAGGCAGCAGUGGGGAAU
rnacentral:rRNA from 1 species